rnacentral:lncRNA from 1 species
GAUUUUGUGUCCUUAGGUUAUAAAUUACUUAACUUUCAAAUGUUAUGUUGUUUUCUUCAGUUUUUGUUUUGUUUUGUUUUUACUUUCUCUUUUUUUUUUAAUUUAAUUUUAUUUGCAAUUCACUUUUUACAUUCCAUAUUCCAUUUCUCACGGUUCCCCAUCCACCCUCUGACCGCUCCACAUUCCACACCUCCUCCCCAUCCCAUCCCAUCUCCACAUGAAUGCCCCUACCACCCACCCGACCUGACCUCUAAACUUCCUGGGGCCUCCAGUCUCUUGAGGGUUAGGAGCAUCAUCUCUGAAUAAACACAGACCUGGAAGUCCUCUACUGUAUGUGUGUUGGGGGCCUCAUAUCAAUUGGUAUAUGCUGUCUGUUUGGUGGUCCAGUGUUUGAAAGAUCUCACACUUACAGCAAGUUGAUCUUUGAAAAAGACACCAAAAAUAUGCAAUGGAAAAAAGAAAGCAUCUUCAAUAAACGAUGCUGAUCUAAUUGGCUGUCUGUAUGUAGAAGAAUGAAAAUAGACCCUUAUUUGUCACCUUGUACAAAGCUCAAGUCCAAGUGGAUCAAGGACUUCAACAUAAAACCAGAUACAGUGAAUCUAAUAGAAGAGAAAGUAGGAAAGAGCCUUGAACUCUUUGGCACAGGGGGAGUUUCCUAACCAGAACUCCAAUGGCUCAUGCUCUAAGAUAAAGAAUUGAUAAAUGGGACUUCAUGAAACUGGAACGCUUCCGACAGGAAAGGACAUAGUUGACAAGACAAAUUGGCAACCUACUGAUUGGGAAAAAGAUCUUCACUAACCCCAUGUCAGAUAGAGGGCUAAUAUCCAAAAUAUAUAUAGAACUCAAGAAGUUAAUCACCAAAACACCAAACAACCCAAUAAAAAAAUGGAGUAUCGAACUAAACUGAGAAUUCACAACUGAGGAAUCUCCAAUGGCUGGAAAACACCUAAAGAAAUGCUUUCUUCAGUUUUACAAAUGUGUUUCUUACUCUGCCCCUAGUCCUGGCUUGACUUUUUCAGAUUCUUGGUAUUACUAAAUGUAGCCUCCCCUUCCCAGCGUGAAACCUGUUUGUUCAGGUUUCACUGUUUGAAUCGGAGUGGAGCUUGCCACUCAAUCGUUCUGCCAUGCCCACUGCUAGAGCCUACCGCUUUGCUAUUCCGGAGCCAUACACGUGGUCACCCUGCAACUGGACCCCCAGGAUUAUUUGGCGGGAAUCGGGCCCCUUCCCUUCCUUCAUAACUGAGUGUCGGAAUAGUAAAAUUGAGCUUUGAUCAGAAUCCUGUUUGACUUAGCUCCGUUCUUUCUUCCAUCCGUCUAGUUCCUUUCUUUCAGCUCGAACUGCCAUCUCAGUCACACCGUUCCUUGCAAGCCGCUGGCCGGCCCGCAACAACUAAAGCUUAAGGAUUGUACAGCAGUCCUUCUACGUUUCUCGGGCAGAGGAAGAUGAGGAGACUAGAGUUGAGGCGCGUUUAUAAUCGCAGCACUCAGGAAGAUAAGGCAACAGGGUCCCGAAGGAGGAUCAAGAGUCCCAGACUCUCCUGUGCUACAUAGUGAAAGCCUCUUUCAGAAAUGAAGGGGAAGAGGCAUUCAGUGAGGAGCUGAGAGUCAGUGGUAGCAGGAUCAAGUCACAUCAGAACCUCGAGCAGUGAUGCAAUGACACUUACAGUCUCUCAGGUCCUUGUUAGUUCAGCUCUCUAAACUCAGCAUUCCUGUCCUCCACUUCCGAAGUCUCACUAUUGGCUCAUAGCCUGUUCCACUGUCUCUCCUCUAAAGCUUGGUCUACUUCCCAUCACUCCACUGCUUCCUCUGAAGUCAAUCUCAAGAGAAAAUGUUAAUUCUCCAAUUUAAAAUUCUACUUUCGAUUAGAAUGUCAUUUCCUCUAGCCACAAAGACUAUGGGUAGUAUCUUAUUUUUAUGGUUGGGUACCUUGUGAGGGUCCCAUCUGUGAACUGGCUCACCAUGCAAAAACCAGACCCAGUAGUUACCACCACUGUGUAGGAGUGACCCCCUAAAUGUACAUAUUCUUCUUGAUUGGAAAAACAAGGCAAAAGACAGAACAUCCAAAUUCCUGCAUAUGUUCUAUGGAUAUUCUAUGCCACCUCAGCCAUUGUUCUGGACAAAAGUCAAGGACUUACGAAUACUCCCUUGUGGAAGAUUUGACAGCAGAGAAACAGCUCAUUAAACAUCUACUUCCUGAGCCCCCCAUGGUGGGAUACCUGCCUACAAUCUUAGCACUUGGAAAGUACAAAUAGGAAGAUCAGGAGUUCAAGGUCAUCCUAAACUACAUAGCAAAUUCAAGGCCAACAACAUGGGAUUCGUGAAACUCUGUCUCAACAGUAAAAAUGGGAAAGCUAUUUGUGUGUAGAAAAUAUGAUAUAAAAAUGAUCCCACAUACUGGGUUGACAUCAACAACCCUUUUAAGACUAACAGAAAUUAUAUGUGGUUUCAUCAAAAGAACUGCAAACAUUGGAACAAAGUAUAAUGGCACAUAUGUAUACAAAAGCUUAUAUGCCAACUUUAAAAAGUAAUUUAAAAUUUUUAAAAGCUAUUUUUAAAAGAACUGCAAGAACUCAGAAAAUAAUGGACAUAGGUAUAACUCAGAGUGGAUUUAACCACAAUUGGAAACAGUUGCUAAUGUGUCAUAAUUUCCUAAGCAACUAUCAACAGGACUUAAGUGAAAAGUUAUGAACUUUAGUAAAAGUUAUGAACCUAAUGAAGUAGGAUGCACUGAAAUUGAUUAAGCCCUUACUGUAGAUGAGAAAUACCCUUGCCUGAGCAACAGACUUUACCAGGAGCUACUCAAGAAAGGAUAUAAGAACUUACACAAGAUGCUGCAACAUGAUAUCACUAUGUUCAUAGUUGUGGCUAAUACUAGUUUUGUACAAAAGAAUGUUAUUAAUUACCCUGGUAUUUGUUAUUCCUGCACAAAAGCCAUGCUUGUUAAGGAUUUCAAUGACAACAGUGAGUACAUAUCAUGUGGGUUCUUUCGUGUUUGGGUUACCUCACUUAGAAUGAUAUCUUCCAGAUCAUCCAUUUGUCUAAGAAUUUCAUAAAUUCAUUGUUUUGAAUAGCUGAGUAGUACUCCAAUGUGUUAAUGUACCACAUUUUCUGUAUCCAUUCCUCUGUUGAGGGACAUCUGGGUUCUUUACAUCUUCUUGCUAUUAUAAAUAAGGCUGGUAUGAACAUAGUGGAGUAUAUGUUCUUAUUACAUGUUGGAUCAUCUUCAGGGUACAUGCCUAGGAAUGGUAUUGCUGGAUCUUCUGGUAGUACUAUGUCUAAGUUUCUGAGGAACUGAAAAACUGAUUUCCAGAGUGGUUGUACCAGCUUGCAAUUCUACCAGCAAUGGAGGAAUGUUCUUUUUUUCUCCAUAUCCUUGCCAGCAUCUGCUGUCACCUGAGUUUUUGAUCUUAUCCAUUCUGACUGGAGUGAGGUAGAAUCUCAGCAUUGUUUUGAUUUGCAUUGCCCUCGUGAUUAAGGAUGUUGAACAUUUUUUUAGGUGCUUCUCAGCUAUUCGGUAUUCCUCAGUUGAGAAUUCUUUGUUUAGCUCUGUAGCCUACUUUUUAAUAGGGUUAUUUGGGUUUUUUUGGAGUCCAACUUCUUGAGUUCUGCCUGAUAUAGUUGUCUCCUGAGAGGCUCUGCCAGUGCCAGUGCCUGGCAAAUACAGAAGUGGAUGCUCACAGUCAUCCAUUGGACAGAGCACAGGGUCCCCAGUGACAGAGCUAGAGAAAGUACCCAAGGAGCUGAAGGGGUUUGUAGCCCCAUAGGAGGAACAACAAUAUGAACUAACCAGUACCCCCAGUUCUCCCUGGGACUAAACCACCAAUCAAAGAAAACACAUGGUGGGAAUUGUGGCUCUAGCUGCUUAUGUAGCAGAGGAUGGCCUAGUCAGUCAUCAAUGGAGGAUAGGCCCUUGGUCCUCUGAAUGUACUAUGCCCCAGCAUAGGGGAAUGCCAGGGCCAGGAAGAAGGACUAGGUGGGUUGGGUAGCAGGGGGAGGAGGGAGGGUAUGGGAGAUCUUAGGAGAGGAAGCUAGGAAAGGGAAUAAUAUUUGAAAUGU